rnacentral:rRNA from 1 species
UACGUAGGGUGCGAGCGUUGCCCGGAUUUAUUGGGCGUAAAGGGUGCGUAGGCGGCGCGGUAAGUCGGGUGUGAAAUCUUGGAGCUUAACUCCGAAACUGCAUUCGAUACUGCCGUGCUUGAGGACUGGAGAGGAGACUGGAAUUUACGGUGUAGCGGUGAAAUGCGUAGAUAUCGUAAGGAAGACCAGUGGCGAAGGCGGGUCUCUGGACAGUUCCUGACGCUGAGGCACGAAGGUCAGGGGAGCAAACGGG